rnacentral:rRNA from 1 species
GACGAACGCUGGCGGCGUGCUUAACACAUGCAAGUCGAACGGAAAGGCCCUGCUUUUGUGGGGUGCUGGAGUGGCGAACGGGUGAGUAACACGUGAGUAACCUGCCCUUGACUUUGGGAUAACUUCAGGAAACUGGGGCUAAUAACGGAUAGGAGCUCCUGCUGCAUGGUGGGGGUUGGAAAGUUUCGGCGGUUGGGGAUGGACUCGCGGCUUAUCAGCUUGUUGGUGGGGUAGUGGCUUACCAAGGCUUUGACGGGUAGCCGGCCUGAGAGGGUGACCGGCCACAUUGGGACUGAGAUACGGCCCAGACUCCUACGGGAGGCAGCAGUGGGGAAUAUUGCACAAUGGGCGGAAGCCUGAUGCAGCAACGCCGCGUGCGGGAUGACGGCCUUCGGGUUGUAAACCGCUUUCGCCUGUGACGAAGCGUGAGUGACGGUAAUGGGUAAAGAAGCACCGGCUAACUACGUG